CUAUAGCAAUGGCUGGGUUUACAGAUGGGCUCAGGCACAAUGGAGCUUUAAAGAUUCCCCUCGUGGAGCAAUGCCUAUCACUUUUAGUACAAAGCAUCUGUUGAUGGUAGAAAAUGAUUGCUAUGGUAACUUAUUUAAAUUAUGUUUUUUCCUCGUUUCAGAGAAAAAAAUCAUAUAGACCAAUUGAAGCAUGAACGUGGAUUGUAUUUAAGACAUAAACAAAGACAUUGACAGCGAUUCAUGGUUCAAGUAUUAAGCAGUUCAUUCUACCAAGCUGUCACAGGAUUAUAGAGAAUUAUCUCAAGUAAAACAAUGAAAUGAAAUUACAAAAAAUAACAAGUUUUGGCAGCCAUGAUAAUAGGUCAUAUGUUGUGUUUGGUUUGAAUUUUUUUUCUGUAAAUGUCUGCACUGAGGAUUUCUUUUUGGUUUGCCUUUUAUGUAAAUUUUUUACGUAGCUAUUUUUAUACACUGUAAGCUUUGUUCUGGGAGUUGCUGUUAAUCUGAUGUAUAAUGUAAUGUUUUUAUUUCAAUUGUUUAUAUGGAUAAUCUGAGCAGGUACAUUUCUGAUUCUGAUUGCUAUCAGUUAUGCCCCAAACUUUCUCACAAGUACCUAAAACCCAAAGGUGGAAGCUUGUAAAGAUUGGGGACACACACAUUGCUCUAUUCAAAGACUGAUUUUUUUCACAAGGGAGGGGAGGUAGAGAGUCAGAUUAACAAACACCAUGGGAGCUAAUUCUGGGUGUGCCACCCACUGACACCCAGAAGCCACCACAGACACAUUCAGACACAUAUGCAUGAUAAUAGUACUCCCAAACUGUCAAUUUUGCCUUUUUUGAAAAAGACAUAAUGCAGAAUUUGGGUAACACUUACCUUUAGAGACACCUGCUAGUAAAUUAUUUUCUGUCAAAGGAAUCAACAAACCAACGUGUGAGAGACUGUUUGGAAACAUCAUGGACAACAUUCCCAUUUUCAUGUAUCACAAUGUAAAUCACUGUAAUUAAAUAUCGGUGUUAAAUCCUUUGGGUUAUCCACUGCCUUAAAAUUAUACCUAUUUCCUUUUAAAAGAAAAGAUAUCAGUCAGAAUUGGAGAUUUUUAACAGUGGUCAUUAUCAAAGCUGUGUUAUUUUCCACAGAAUAUAGAAUAUAUAUUUUUUUCGUGUGUGUUUUUGUUAACUACGCUACAGAUAUUGAAUGCACCUUGAGAUAAUUUAGUGUUUUUAACUGGUACAUAAUUUAUCAAUCAGUACAUGAAAGUGUAAUAAUAAAAUAUCUAUGUAUCUUUAGUUACAUUCAAAUUUGUAACUUUAUAAACAUGUUUUAUGCUUGAGGAACUUUUUAAGGUCUUAGCAUAAAUGGAAACUUUUUGAAGUAGACUGGAUAUGGGAUAAUAGCUUCUUGUGACUAGACUUUUAAACUUUGCUCUUUCAGGCAGAAGCCUGGCUUCUGGGAGAACACUGCACAGCCAUUUUUGUCCAAUAAUUUACAUAAGUUUGACUGAAAAAAAAAUGAGCAUUAGAUUUCCAGUUACAGAACUCUGUUCCUUAAGGGGAAAAGCAAAACUGGUGUUUAUUUUUUAGAGACAUAGAAUAAAAAAUUAUGAAGGCAAUGAAAAAAUAAUUGAAGAUGGAGAUUUGGAAUAUUUUGCCACUUCUGCAUUAUUUAGAAACAUGUUAUUGUACAUUUGUAAGCCGUUUAUUGUCUGAGCAAUAGUAACUCAGUUUAAUAAAAGCUUCCUGUAGUGCAUUGGUAUGGAUUAAAUACAUAAAAUAUUCUAUUAGACUCAAUGCUGUAUAAAAUAUUAUGGGAAAAAAUGUUAUUUUGCCUCUAAACUUUGAUUUAUUGAAGUUUUAUUUGGCAGGAAAAAAAAUUGAAUCUUGGUCAAUAUUUAAACCAAAGUGAAAGGGGAAAAACCAAAGUUAUUUGUUUUGCAUGGCUAAGCCAUUCUGUUAUCUCUGUAAAUACUGUGAUUUCUUUCUCUUUCUUCUCUUUAGAAUUUUGUUAAAGAAAUUCUAAAAUUUUUAAACACCUGCUUUCCACAGCAAACCAUGAACACUAAAAUGAAAUCAUUUCCAUAUUAAUAUUUUUUUUUCCUUUUUCUUUUGGUGUGGGAGAUCAAAGGUUUUAAGUCUUACUUCUAAGAUAUGUUUGCAGACAAAAAGCAACAUGACAAUAGAAUGAGAAAAUUUAGAAAUAGAAAAAUUGUUAUGCUACAAUUAUGGCUUGGCUUCCACUUGCAAUGGUUAACUAAGUCCAAACACAGCUGUCAGAACCUAGAGAGAAGAACAGGAGAAACUCAUAGCACUGGACCAAGAGCGGAAAGUCUCCCAGGAAAAAGAGGACAACAUUAUUACACUGAAUCGUGCCUGGAGAAAGGGGAGAGCUCGUGUGUGUGAUGGCAGCCAUGUACACAGCGAUAGGAGAAGAGGAUUCACAGUCCUCAACUGCCCAAGUCUGGCCUCACCGAUUUAUCUCUUUCAGAAGAGGAGACAGGUUUUACCAGUUUGAGAUUCACUCCCUAUAUGUGAUUAUAGGAAUUGUAUGUGGAAAUGGAUUAACAUACCCUUCUAUACCUAAAAGAUAAUAAAAAUGGAAUAUGUCUUCACAUAUCUCUCACCACCGCUGUCUGCCUCUUGUCUGCAUCAGUGA
rnacentral:lncRNA from 1 species